rnacentral:lncRNA from 1 species
CAAGUCUUUGCAGAAAACGAUAUCACCAAGCUGAAGGUCCCCAAUUAUGAAAAAAUGGAGUUUGAUGAACCGUACUCUAGUUUUCUGAGCCGCCUGGAGAUGAGCCAUGAAAUGCAAAAGAGCUUGGCCAACAUGAUGCGAAUAAAACAUGAGGUGUGAUAUAUUUUAACCUUCUUGACAUGUCCUCCCAUUAUCCCUCCAAAGGGCGAGUCAUCCAUGACG